rnacentral:rRNA from 1 species
GGCUUAACACAUGCAAGUCGAGCGAUGAAGGACCAGCUUGCUGGUUUGGAUUAGCGGCGGACGGGUGAGUAACACUUAGGAAUCUGCCUAGUAGUGGGGGAUAGCCCGGGGAAACUCGGAUUAAUACCGCAUAACAUCUACGGAUUAAAGGUGCCUUAGGGUAUCGCUAUUAGAUGAGCCUAAGUUAGAUUAGCUAGUUGGUGGGGUAAAGGCCUACCAAGGCGACGAUCUAUAGCUGGUCUGAGAGGAUGAUCAGCCACACUGGGACUGAGACACGGCCCAGACUCCUACGGGAGGCAGCAGUGGGGAAUAUUGGACAAUGGGGGCAACCCUGAUCCAGCCAUGCCGCGUGUGUGAAGAAGGCCAUUAGGUUGUAAAGCACUUUAAGCAGUGAAGAAGACCAUACGGUUAAUACCCGUAUGCGAUGACAUUAGCUGCAGAAUAAGCACCGGCUAACUCUGUGCCAGCAGCCGCGGUAAUACAGAGGGUGCGAGCGUUAAUCGGAAUUACUGGGCGUAAAGCGAGCGUAGGUGGCUAAAUAAGUCAGAUGUGAAAUCCCCGGGCUUAACCUGGGAACUGCAUCUGAAACUGUAUGGCUAGAGUAGGUGAGAGGGAAGUAGAAUUCCAGGUGUAGCGGUGAAAUGCGUAGAGAUCUGGAGGAAUACCGAUGGCGAAGGCAGCUUCCUGGCAUCAUACUGACACUGAGGUUCGAAAGCGUGGGUAGCAAACAGGAUUAGAUACCCUGGUAGUCCACGCCGUAAACGAUGUCUACCAGUCGUUGGGACUCUUGAAGUCUUAGUGACGCAGUUAACGCACUAAGUAGACCGCCUGGGGAGUACGGCCGCAAGGUUAAAACUCAAAUGAAUUGACGGGGGCCCGCACAAGCGGUGGGGCAUGUGGUUUAAUUCGAUGCAACGCGAAGAACCUUACCUGGUCUUGACAUAUCCGGAAUCCUGCAGAG